UAAACCAGGAUUAGAUACCCUAUUAUAUUUAAACAAAUUGGGUAGUAUUAUUAAUAAAAACCUUUAUACUUUGGCGGCAUUUUAUCUUAUUAGAGGAAUAUGUUCAUUAAUCGAAACCACACGAUAGUUUUUACUUACUAUAAAAUUUUAUAUACCCCCGUCUAAAGAAUUUAUUUAAAAUUUUUAUUCCAAAUUAUAUUAAAAAAAGUUAGGUAAAGGUGUAGACUAUUAGUAAGAUUAAAUGUAUUACAUUAAAAAAAAUUUAAGGAUAAAACAGUUAACUGUUUAUUAAAAGAGGAUUUAUAAGUAAUUUACUUUUAAUAAAAAUUAAUGAAUAAGAAAAUAAAUGUGCACAUAUCGCCGGUCACU
rnacentral:rRNA from 1 species